rnacentral:rRNA from 1 species
UACGAAGGGGGCUAGCGUUGUUCGGAAUCACUGGGCGUAAAGGGCGCGUAGGCGGCCGAUCAAGUCGGGGGUGAAAGCCUGUGGCUCAACCACAGAAUUGCCUUCGAUACUGUUUGGCUUGAGACCGGAAGAGGUUAGUGGAACUGCGAAGUGUAGAGGUGAAAUUCGUAGAUAUUCGCAAGAACACCAGUGGCGAAGGCGGCUGACUGGUCCGGUUCUGACGCUGAGGCGGCGAAAGCGUGGGAGCAAACAGG